rnacentral:snRNA from 1 species
AGAUAUUGGCUCAGGCACUAUCGUAGCCAAUGAGGUUAAUCCGAGGUUCAAUUAUUGCUAAUUGAAAACUUCUCCUGGCUUAAUAAAUGGUAGUCUAUAAAAAAGCAGGAAAAGGAGUGAAGGCUGCAGGUUCCUCACUUGCUCCUUCUUUGCACUGACUUCAGCUUUUCUUUUUUUUUUUUAAUAAAUUUUUAUUAAUUUUCCAUAAAU